GAUGAACGCUGGCGGCGUGCCUAAUACAUGCAAGUCGAGCGAACAGAUAAGGAGCUUGCUCCUUUGACGUUAGCGGCGGACGGGUGAGUAACACGUGGGUAACCUAUCUAUAAGACUGGAAUAACUCCGGGAAACCGGGGCUAAUGCCGGAUAACAUGUUGAACCGCAUGGUUCUACAGUGAAAGGCGGCUUUGCUGUCACUUAUAGAUGGACCCGCGCCGUAUUAGCUAGUUGGUGAGGUAACGGCUCACCAAGGCAACGAUACGUAGCCGACCUGAGAGGUUGAUCGGCCACACUGGAACUGAGACACGGUCCAGACUCCUACGGGAGGCAGCAGUAGGGAAUCUUCCGCAAUGGGCGAAAGCCUGACGGAGCAACGCCGCGUGAGUGAUGAAGGUCUUCGGAUCGUAAAACUCUGUUAUUAGGGAAGAACAAAUGCGUAAGUAACUGUGCGCGUCUUGACGGUACCUAAUCAGAAAGCCACGGCUAACUACGUG
rnacentral:rRNA from 1 species